UACGGAGGGAGCUAGCGUUGUUCGGAAUUACUGGGCGUAAAGCGUGCGCAGGCGGUUUGCUAAGACCGAUGUGAAAUCCCCGGGCUUAACCUGGGAACUGCAUUGGUGACUGGCAGGCUAGAGUAUGGCAGAGGGGGGUAGAAUUCCACGUGUAGCAGUGAAAUGCGUAGAGAUGUGGAGGAAUACCGAUGGCGAAGGCAGCCCCCUGGGCCAAUACUGACGCUCAUGCACGAAAGCGUGGGGAGCAAACAGG
rnacentral:rRNA from 1 species